UACGAAGGGGGCUAGCGUUGCUCGGAAUCACUGGGCGUAAAGCGCACGUAGGCGGCUUUUAAGUCAGAGGUGAAAUCCUGGAGCUCAACUCCAGAACUGCCUUUGAUACUGGAGAGCUGAGUCCGGGAGAGGUGAGUGGAACUGCGAGUGUAGAGGUGAAAUUCGUAGAUAUUCGCAAGAACACCAGUGGCGAAGGCGGACUCACUGGCCCGAUACUGACGCUGAGGCACGAAAGCGUGGG
rnacentral:rRNA from 1 species